UUUAGGGUAUAGAGUUUAGGUUUAUAGUCUAGUUUUUGGGUUUAGGGUCUAGGAUUAGGGUUUAGGGUAUAGGGUUUGGGUUUAGAGGUUUGGAUUUGGGUUUAGAAUUUAGGGUAUAGGGUUUAGAAAUUAAGAUUUAGGAUUUAGGGUUUAGCUGGAAGCGUUAGCAUCGUUAAAAUUAGCAUUUUUAUUUUUUAUAGCUUUUUAUUUAAUUUAAUAUUUUUUAAUUAAUAAUGUAUGUGUCAGAAGUGAAUUUAAAGGUUUCUGUCCGAUAUCA
rnacentral:lncRNA from 1 species